rnacentral:rRNA from 3 species
CUUUUCUUGUUAGUUUUUGAAGUAUGGCCUGCCCGCUGACUUGAAGUGUUGAAGGGCCGCGGUAUUUUGACCGUGCAAAGGUAGCAUAAUCAUUAGUUCUUUAAUUGUGAUCUGGAAUGAAUGGCUUGACGAGACACGAGCUGUCUUAAGUUGUGAAUAUUUUAUUGAAUUUGGUUUUUGAGUUAAAAUUCUUAGAUGUUUUUAUGGGACGAGAAGACCCUAUAGAGUUUAACAUUUGGUCUAUUUUCCUUAUUGUUUGUUUAUGUUUAAUUGAGUGGGCUUAUAUGUUUUGUUGGGGCGAUGAGAGGGAUAUAGUUUAACCCCUCUUUAUUUUGGUUAUAUUAAUUUAUAGUUGCUUGAUCCAUUAAUUUUGAUUAUAAGAUUAAAUUACC